GCGGGGUUUCACCAUGUUGGUCAGGGUGGUCUUGAUCUCUUGACCUUGUGAUCCGCCCGCCUUGGCCUCCCAAAGUGUUGGGAUUACAGGCGUGAGACACAGUGCCCAGCCUAGAAUAUUUCAUAAAUGUAGCAAAUUGGCUUUAGGGAACUUUUUCUGCUUCCAGCAUUCAGCAGCUAUUUGAAGGGUUUUGGAAGCAAAGGAAUGGAGGGAGACAGGACGGCACCCUGAGGGAGACGCAGGGCUGAACGGAGCUGUUCGGGGAUAGCUGUGGCUUGAGUGGGUCUGUUGGCUGAAAGGAGGGAUUCGUUGAAGAAGGAGCAAUGGACGAGGUGAGAGAGAGGAUACUGGAUGGAACCAGGUUUCAGAGGAGGCUGAUGGGAGAAUGUGAGGAGCACCAAAGCGAGCCUUAGGAAAAAGAAGUUCAGACAGACAGACACUUCGGUAAACCACAGCUCCCAGUAUUCACCACUGUGUGUAGUCUCCUCCCACACUGACUCUGGGCUUGGUCAGCUGACAAGCUUUGGCCAAUAGGGCUCUAGCAAGAAGAUGCCAGCAGAGGCUUGAAAAGUGCCUACCCCUGGCCUGGGAUGCUUCCUCCUGGGAUGCUCCCACUUGGAACCCAACUAUUGUGCUGCAGAAGUUUAACUUAACUGUGUAAGGAGGCCAAGAGGAGGCCCUGGCUGCCAGCCAGCAUCAACUUCCAGUGACGUGAGUGUGCCAUUCUGGAACUGGAUCCUGCAGCCUCGGUGGAGCAGCCUCAGCUGAUGCCAUGUGGAACAGAGAUGAACUGCCGCUGCCGAGCUCUGCCCACGUUGCAGAAUCAUGAGCAAAUAUGUUGUGGAUUGGCUGUAACUCUGCUCUGGGAUCCAGGCUGAAGGAGCAGGCUCUAUCUGGAACAUUACUAGUCUCCAGGCAGAAGAAAAAGAGACAAUGGAAUGGAUGAUUGAAUGGAUGAAUGAACUCCACAGGAAGAUGAGGAAAGCCUUUAUGGAUGGAGUGAGCUUGCAGCAGAGUCUCAAAGGGAAGAGUUUGAAUGUUAUCAUUUGGGCAAUGGGAAGCUAUUCCUGGGUCUUCACAAGGGAAUCAGUUGGUGAGAACUGCUGUUUAGAAAGACAGCCCUGGCAGCAACUCAAGCGCUGGGAGAGGACAGAACCACCAGGGAAGAGGGUAUGGGGAAGAAGAGCAGCAGGCUGAGGACAGGCCCAGGACUGAAGAAUCAGGCACAGGAAGAAGAGUCCAUGGGGCAGGCUGUGAAAUGGACAAAGGAAAACCAGAGGUGCUUCCCAAGCAGGGGGCCUGGCCACCAGAGUCCCAAGCUACCAAGAUGUCAAGUAAAGAAGAACUGAAAGCCAACUGCUGGAUGCAGCAGUGAGUGGGGGUCACAGUGGCCUUUGCCAGAACUGUUCCAGUGGAGGAGUAGAGGAAGAGAGAAAACCACAGGAGCAGGCAUCGCAAGCUCAUGCUCCACCCACACGUCCCCUUUCUCCUUUAGUCCUGUGACCCAUGUGCUUGCUCUCUUUCUCUCUCAAAGGAGAUCCAAAUUUAAAAAUAUGGAGCCAAGGGAAUCAGUUCCUUUGCGAACACACUGAACGUUAGUUUUCUUCUUCUCUUUUGCAAAAACUUCUUAUUUCACAAAAUACUCAAACAAAUAGACAAAGUACAGUGAAGUCCAGGUAGAUAUCAUCCACCUUCAGCAAUGAUCAAUCCAUGGCCAAUCUUUCAUCUCAACACUCGUAUCCUCAUUCUUGUGGAGCAAAUGCCAGACAUUCUUUCAUCCAUCAGUAUGUCAAUAUGUAUCUCUGAAAUAGAAGGACUUUUUAUAAAACAUAAUCAUAAUAUAAUUAAUAUUCAUUCCCC
rnacentral:lncRNA from 1 species